rnacentral:rRNA from 1 species
GUAGGGAAUCUUCCGCAAUGGACGAAAGUCUGACGGAGCAACGCCGCGUGAGUGAUGAAGGUUUUCGGAUCGUAAAGCUCUGUUGUUAGGGAAGAACAAGUACCGUUCGAAUAGGGCGGUACCUUGACGGUACCUAACCAGAAAGCCACGGCUAACUACGUGCCAGCAGCCGCGGUAAUACGUAGGUGGCAAGCGUUGUCCGGAAUUAUUGGGCGUAAAGGGCUCGCAGGCGGUUUCUUAAGUCUGAUGUGAAAGCCCCCGGCUCAACCGGGGAGGGUCAUUGGAAACUGGGGAACUUGAGUGCAGAAGAGGAGAGUGGAAUUCCACGUGUAGCGGUGAAAUGCGUAGAGAUGUGGAGGAACACCAGUGGCGAAGGCGACUCUCUGGUCUGUAACUGACGCUGAGGAGCGAAAGCGUGGGGAGCGAACAGGAUUAGAUACCCUGGUAGUCCACGCCGUAAACGAUGAGUGCUAAGUGUUAGGGGGUUUCCGCCCCUUAGUGCUGCAGCUAACGCAUUAAGCACUCCGCCUGGGGAGUACGGUCGCAAGACUGAAACUCAAAGGAAUUGACGGGGGCCCGCACAAGCGGUGGAGCAUGUGGUUUAAUUCGAAGCAACGCGAAGAACCUUACCAGGUCUUGACAUCCUCUGACAAUCCUAGAGAUAGGAC